rnacentral:piRNA from 1 species
UAUAAGGAUGGAAGAAAAGGAGGCAUCU